UCAAGGCAGUAUCUCUCCGAACAUCACAAACACAAACCCUUCUAGGUCAAAGUUAUUGAUGAUUGAUGGAUCUUGUGCACAGAGGGAAUCGACUAUCUCUGGAGAGUAAUGUUCACGGAUUGUUAUGAUCCACAAUGGUACUAGCACAUUGAGGUACUCUUUAACAAAAUCGCCCUUGGUAUUUGCCCAUGCUCUUAAUAUACUAAGCUUCACCUGGAGUUGUUUUUUAUUUAAAGGGAAUUCUGAAGCUCCAAUUUUAAGGAUAGGUUUAUUUUCAGCAACUUCUAGUAAACCAUCCACCAAAUAACUUACUACUCUAUUUGAUAACGACACGGCACAAAUAUCAAAGGCACAACAUAUAACUUCUGGAUAACUUGGUCUACUAAACAACGGAUUAACAACUCCUGUAAUCAACGCUGUAUAUUGCUCCAAUAAAUAUGACGAUUCAUCUUCAGGAUCCACAACAUCUUCAUACACAUCCAAAAUCUUUUUCACCAAUUCUAAUCCACUUACUUGUAAAGAAGGAAUAUUUGAGACAGACGCUGUAUAGCAUAUUUUUAAUAUUGAACUCAAAUCUUCAUCUUUACCUAUUAAAUCACGAUACACCUCCAAUAAAAAUUGCAAUGCAUAAGGACUCAUAUCAGGUAUCUUUAAUAAAACGUUUAAUCUAUUCUCAUGCUUGAGCCAUCCAUAUAUGUAUUUUCUUAGGCUUCUAUACUUUGGAAAAACCAAAAACGAAGUGAAAACUAAACGAUUUAAAACGACAUCUUCAUAAUUGCCCAUUUCCAAUAAAUAUUCCACCGAAACCUUAAAACCUGACCUAGGCAUACCUCUCUUCAAAAAUGACAAAAUUAACGACCUCACAAUCAACAUCGACAUUUUAAAGUUAAAUAAUGUUUCCAUCUUGAACAUGGAUACUAAUUCACUUAUCUUUAAUGAAACUGCCUGAACAUCAGAACACGGACACAUAUUAAGUGAUGACAGCACUGCUUUAAAUUUUACCCUAAUAUUCCGAAGAUCUGGUCCAAUAACUUCAGUCAGCGCUUUCAAAGCGUUUCCAACACCAAGCAGCAUAUUAAACUCACUGUUAUAACUGUUACCAAAUCCAGAUACACUACCUGGUUCAUAAUCAUUCGAGAAUACCAUAUUAAAUAAAAUAUCCAUCACUUUACCAAUUUUUAAUUUAUCAUUAUAAUACCUUCUCAU
rnacentral:tRNA from 1 species